CCUACGGGAGGCAGCAGUGAGGAAUAUUGGUCAAUGGACGAGAGUCUGAACCAGCCAAGUAGCGUGAAGGAUGACUGCCCGAUGGGUGGUAAACUUCUUUUAUAAAGGAAUAAAACGCGGCACGUGUGCCUUUUUGCAUGUACCUUAUGUAUAAGGAUCGGCUAACUCCGUGCCAGCAGCCGCGGUAAUACGGAGGGUCCGAGCGUUAUCCGGAUUUAUUGGGUUUAAAGGGAGCGUCGGUGGGUGGUUAAGUCAGUUGUGAAAGUUUGCGGCUCAACCGUAAAAUUGCAAUUGAUACUGGCAGUCUUGAGUGCAGUUGAGGUAGGCGGAAUUCGUGGUGUAGCGGUGAAAUGCUUAGAUAUCACGAAGAACCCCGAUUGCGAAGGCAGCUUACUAAACUGUGACUGACGUUGAUGCUCGAAAGUGUGGGUAUCAAACAGGAUUAGAUACCCGAGUAGUC
rnacentral:rRNA from 1 species